ensembl:ncRNA C55A6.16 ncRNA
UUGCCAGAUCUGAAUCUUUCUUUCUCUUCGAAUAUGUUUUCUAAUCUCACUUUCAGGUGUAAUUAUGAAAUGUAUGAAGCUUAAUUGAAAGCUGAGAGAUAACUUUGUAUAUUUUUGACAGUUUUGGC